CCACCAGCCCACCGCCUCCGCUAGAAGGGGCUCACGCAGCCCGGGUGCGGAGCUGGGGGUGCUGUGGCUGCUGAGCAUCUCUCACCAACGUUUGGCUUGGAAAUAAGUUUUGUUUCAACGUCUUCCGUCUGCAUUAACUGCCUGUGCUGGUGUCGGGCGCUGUAAAAACUUACAAACUCCAAUACUUGGUCAACUCUCAUUGAGUCACGAGCCCAAACUCACAGCUUAUUCUGUGAUCCGGUGGCCCAGGCUGCAGCGGAAACAACACAGCUUUACUCUUGAAUGGGAAAACUUGGUGUGAACUGAAGGAAGUAAAGUCAGUAGAUGUUGACUCUUUUUUUCCCAUCUGAGAGCAAGGGUGGGUUUCGUGUGAACUUCUAGUAAACGUCUCAGAGAGACUUAUUUCUUGGAACAAUUCUUGCCUUUUGUUUGAAAAUAAUAGUAUGUGUGACAAAUAAGGAAAUGAUACCCCUAGAAGUCUCAAAAGCCUUACAUGGUGGAGGAAAAAAUAAUUUCUACCCUUCCUUACUUUAUUCUACUGAUAGUUAAAAGAUAACCAGCUUUUUCUGAACAUUCUUCAUGCACUUUCUGUAAUAGUUUUUAAAAAAAGUCAUUACUAGGCUUCAGAAUGCUGAAACAGACACAAAUGAGCAUGCUUCUGUUAGCUGUGUGUCACCAGUUCAGAUCUCCAGGAUGGUUUUUGCCAGGUGGGAUUUUUUGUAUACCAAAGGCUAAUGCUGCGAAAGUGUAGCAGGAUCAGGAUGGUGGUAACAGAGCUGGACACCUCAGUGAUAUAAUUUGCACAGCUUUUAAGACACUUGGAAAUGUUUCAACUAAUUUUAUGGAUCAAAGUAAUUCCAGGUGGAAAAACAGGAAGACAGACAAUCUGAGGAGAGAAUGGAUCAGAGCACAACAGUCACACUCAGGGAGUGCAGUUGUUGCUAUCUCAGGCCAAAAGAAGCAUGUGUAAGUUCAUGGGAGAAGGAGAGCAAAUAUCUUGGAGCUCAAACAGAAACAUAGCAAAGUGUCCAUGGCAGGUAACAGCAAAGGACUUGCGGGGUUGUUUUUCU